AACGAACGCUGGCGGCAUGCCUAACACAUGCAAGUCGAACGGGAUCCUAGCUUGCUAGGUGAGAGUGGCGGACGGGUGAGUAACACGUGGGAAUCUGCCUUUUGGUUCGGGAUAACCGCGGGAAACUGCGGCUAAUACCGGAUGCACCCGCGAGGGGAAAGAUUUUUCGCCGGAAGAGGAGCCCGCUUCCGAUUAGGUCGGUGGUGAGGUAAUGGCUCACCAAGCCGACGAUCGGUAGCUGGUCUGAGAGGAUGAUCAGCCGCACUGGGACUGAUAGACGGCCCAGACUGCUACGGGAGGCAGCAGUGAGGAAUAUGGGAGAAUGGGGGCAACCCUGAUCCAGCAAUGCCGCGUGAGUGAUGAAGGCCUUAGGGUUGUAAAGCUCGUUUGCCAGGGAAGAUGAUGACUGUACCUGGAGAAUAAGCCCCGGCUAACUUCGUGCCAGCCGCCGCCGUAACAC
rnacentral:rRNA from 1 species